rnacentral:pre_miRNA from 1 species
GAUUUCAAAUGGAAAUAUGGUCAACAACAAAGUUGAUCUUCUCAUUAAGAUCUACAACUUUUAUUUUAGUCACUUCUUCAUCCGACAAAGUGAUAGUUAUAUUAUUCACAAAAAUCACAUUUCUCUCAUCUGGUUUAUAAACAUCAUCACAUAUAUGUCAAUUUUGUAAACAUUGGUACUAUCACUUUGUCGGAUGAAGAAGUGACCAACAUAAAAGUUGUAGAUCUUGAUAAGUUGUACAACUUUGAUGUUUAUGGCUUUUUCAUUUGAAAUU